rnacentral:sRNA from 2 species
CAUGCGCCGGUCAUUGGGGAGUAGCCGCUCUUCGUUCGCGAAGAGGCCCGCGUCAACACACUUGGCCCACCGGCCAUGGCGCAGGCAGCCGAUCCGCCUGGCAAGACCUUUGACCACACGCCUCCGACUGCGGCCGGGGAGGCGUGUGGUCAAUCGUCUUCGUCCGGCCCG